rnacentral:rRNA from 1 species
GGCACUAGGAGCCGAAGAAGGACGCGAUAAGCUGCGAUAAGCCUUGGGUAGCCGCAAAUAGGCUGAGAUCCAGGGAUUUCCGAAUGAGGAAACUCACAUGGGCAACCCCAUGUAUCAUGCACUGAAUACAUAGGUGUAUGAGGGUAAACCCGGGGAACUGAAACAUCUAAGUACCCGGAGGAAGAGAAAGAAAAAUCGAUUUCCUA